CGAGGAUUCCCUUAGUAACGGCGAGUGAACAGGGAGAAGCCCAGCGCUGAAUCUCAUGAUCAUUUACUGGUCAUCCGAGAACUGUAGCGUAUAGGUGUGGCCAUUUGGCGAUUUUUUGUACACUCUAAGUUCCCUUGAGUGGGGCCAUUGCCCAUUGAUGGUGCUAGGCCAGUAGGAGUGUCAAAAUUUUGUCAAUGUUUCGGCAGCACUUUGGAGUCGAGUUGCCUGGGAUCGCAGCUCAAAGCAGGUGGUAAACUUCAUCUAAGGCUAAAUAUCGCUACGAGACCGAUAGCCAACAAGUACCGUGAGGGAAAGUUGCAAAGAACUUUGAAGAGAGAGUUCAAGAGUACGUGAAACCGCUGGGAGGGAAGCGGAUAGAGUCGGCGAUUGUGCCAGUAGCACUCAGCCAAUCAAUUGCAAUGGUUGCUGUAUAGGCGUAUGUGUACUGCUCACUUGUUGGGUGGUAGCCUAUUCGGUUGUUCCAGUUGAUCAUUGUUAUUCGAUUGGUGCACUUGUUGCUGGUUUGCGCUAAGACAUUCGCCGUAUUCAAACAUAUGUUAUAGAUUGGUUGAAAGAGGACUGCAUCACUUGCUGGUGUAGAACCCUUUCACUAAUUGAGGCAUAUUGACGGUGAAUGCUAAAUUGGUGCGCAUAUUGAUCACUUUAUCCAUUUGGAUGUCUACCGCAGUUGAUUUGAAUAUUUAGGCUGUUUACAGUGGCAUGCCACCGUGUAAGCAGUUCAUGAGUGAUCAGUUGACUGUUUUUUGGUGACGAAAGUG
rnacentral:rRNA from 1 species